AAACUCUACAAAGCUUUAUCAGCUUGGAGAUGAUUCCUGCCAGAUUUGCCAGGGUACUGCUUGCUCUGGCCCUCAUUUUGCCAGGGACCCUUUGUGCAGAAGGAACUCGCGGCAGGUCAUCCAUGGCCCGAUGCAGCCUCUUCGGAAAUGACUUCGUCAACACCUUUGAUGGGAGCAUGUACAGCUUUGCGGGAUACUGCAGUUACCUCCUGGCAGGGGGCUGCCAGAAACGCUCCUUCUCGAUUAUUGGGGACUUCCAGAAUGGCAAGAGAGUGAGCCUCUCCGUGUAUCUUGGGGAAUUUUUUGACAUCCAUUUGUUUGUCAAUGGUACCGUGACACAGGGGGACCAAAGAGUCUCCAUGCCCUAUGCCUCCAAAGGGCUGUAUCUAGAAACUGAGGCUGGGUACUACAAGCUGUCCGGUGAUCGCCUCUUAUGCCCACCUCUGUCGGACCAACGGGGUCUGCGUUGACUGGA
rnacentral:sRNA from 1 species